rnacentral:rRNA from 1 species
AGUGAACGCUGGCGGUAGGCCUAACACAUGCAAGUCGAACGGCAGCACAGUAAGAGCUUGCUCUUACGGGUGGCGAGUGGCGGACGGGUGAGGAAUACAUCGGAAUCUACUUUUUCGUGGGGGAUAACGUAGGGAAACUUACGCUAAUACCGCAUACGACCUACGGGUGAAAGCAGGGGAUCUUCGGACCUUGCGCGAUUGAAUGAGCCGAUGUCGGAUUAGCUAGUUGGCGGGGUAAAGGCCCACCAAGGCGACGAUCCGUAGCUGGUCUGAGAGGAUGGACAGGCACACUGGAACUGAGACACGGUCCAGACUCCUACGGGAGGGAGCAGUGGGGAAUAUUUGGCAAUGGGCGCAAGCCUGAUCCAGCCAUACCGCGUGGGUGAAGAAGGCCUUCGGGUUGUAAAGCCCUUUUGUUGGGAAAGAAAAGCAGCAGGUUAAUACCCCGCUGUUCUGACGGUACCCAAAGAAUAAGCACCGGCUAACUUCGUG